rnacentral:rRNA from 1 species
AAUAGAUACCCAGGUAGUCCACGCCCUAAACCGAUGUCGACUGGUUGUUGGUGGGGUUAAACCCAUUAGUAACGAAGCUAACGCGUGAAGUCGACCGCCUGGGGAGUACGGCCGCAAGGUUAAAACUCAAAGGAAUUGACGGGGACCCGCACAAGCGGUGGAUGAUGUGGAUUAAUUCGAUGCAACGCGAAGAACCUUACCUACCCUUGACAUGCCAGGAACCCUGCUGAGAGGUGGGGGUGCCCGAAAGGGAACCUGGACACAGGUGCUGCAUGGCUGUCGUCAGCUCGUGUCGUGAGAUGUUGGGUUAAGUCCCGCAACGAGCGCAACCCUUGUCACUAGUUGCUACGGUAACGGGCACUCUAAUGAGACUGCCGGUGACAAACCGGAGGAAGGUGGGGAUGACGUCAAGUCCUCAUGGCCCUUAUAGGUGGGGCUACACACGUCAUACAAUGGCCGGUACAAAGGGCUGCCAACCCGCGAGGGGGAGCCAAUCCCAUAAAACCGGUCGUAGUCCGGAUCGCAGUCUGCAACUCGACUGCGUGAAGUCGGAAUCG